rnacentral:ncRNA from 1 species
ACUGGCAAAAUCAACGUGCUUGUCCUACCCCGAAAGGGGCGGGUAAACCAUUGAAAAUUUGCCGUGAUUGGGAUCGGAAAUUGCAAUUAUUUUCCGUGAAC